GUCCUCCCCCAGCUACCUGAGGAGCUGUCAGUCUGGAUUGCGGCGCUGUCGGUUCAGCCUGUCAGGCUGAGGGACGCGUUCCCAUCAGCCGCGGACACUGAUAGACCUGUCAGGUGGGAUGACAGCUGCAAGUGAAGACGCACACCGACAGUACUUUAUAGACGUCUGCUGAAUUCACACUUCAGGUUCUAUAGAAGCCUGUUAAUCACCCAUUCAUUGGAAUCAGGUUCAGGACCGGACCAUUAUCCUGACCAUUAUCUUUAAGACAUCAUGAAGGCCGAGGAACAAUUUAUCAGGACCACUUUAAAAUGMUACAAGAAAGUCUGACUCUCUGGAAGCAAAAUAUAAAGAAKAGAGGGAUGAUUCAAGACCUUUGCUUUGUGCUGUAUAGUGCACUUUACACAUGUCAUGUGGAGUUCAGCUUGUAUUGUGAUUUUCCGACUUGAAGAAAAGAACAAACGCCUUUUGAGCAGCGUAUCACUCCUCAGAUACUCGGCCAUAAAGUGAGCUGCUGUUUUUUGUUUUUGUUUUGUUUUUCAAAAUGCAGUCAUAAAAUAUGUUCRACAAUCAUAUAAUAAAAAUGAAUUUAUUAGUCUGAACAUUAAGCAGGUUUUGGAURCACUGUAUGAACAUCAUGCGAACUAUAACGCUGUGGUUUUAUUAAGAUUUGUGGUUUUUGAGAGUAUUUCAUAGAAAAUAAAUSAAAGUGGACAUGUCAGGCUUUUAGAUCCUUCUUUMUCACAUUUAAAUCAUUCAGUUGGAUAUAUAAAGUAGAACUGCAAUGGUUUGGUCUAAAAUCUUCUUUACAGUAACUCCACAAACCUCUCAUUUUGAGGCUGUGUCUUUAAAUCCAAAGGAGC